rnacentral:tRNA from 1 species
UCCCAGGUGGCUCAGUAGGUAAAGAACCUGCCUGGAAUGCAGGAGACACAGGUUCAAUCCCUGGGAU